ensembl:lncRNA
CCUGGGGACAGCGGGUGGCCGUCCCGCUGCGCGCCGCGCAGAGCUCAGCCGGCAGGAUGCGCGUGCACCCGGCGAUUAGAUGCUAUCUGCUUAUCGGCGGCUGCAGGGCCGGCUCUGGGCGAGGGAAGGAGAUAGCGAGCAGCGGCCGAGAGGAGAUGCGGCAGCCGAUGGGAUUUCUCUCUCUCUCCACAUCCAAUUCCAAGUUCAGUGGCCGCCCAGGAUCGCCCGCUGCCAGCUCCAUCGCUCAGCAGGGCUGGAGCUCUGCCCUCUCAUCCAGCGCUGCUUGCAGCCCUCUGCUCCGUCGGGGCCGUGUUUACACACACAGGGCAGCCCUGUUUUCCUUAGGUGUAAUUAUGCCAUCUGUAAUGCGGUUGCAAACUGUUUCUCAUGGUGGAGGGAAGGAGCUGCUGCGCUGUGCUGCUGCUCGUUGCAGCCCCCGCUGUCCCUGCGGCUUUCUUCCCACCCUGCUUCUCCCAAGGACGCGGCCGUCCCCUGCUUGUGGGGCCCAUGUGAUGCUCUGGACACGUUCACGCUGACAUCCCCCUGCCCACAUGGGAGACUCGGCUGCAGCAGAGGCUGUGUGGAGAGAUUGGGUGAUGGGAAUGUCAUCUGCGAUUCGAUUAUCUCCUCCUGCCUUGCCUUUUUUUUUUUCUUCCUUGUGAAACCUUCAUCAAAAUACAUAGAUCUAAUUAGGACAAUUACAGCGCGAGGACAGCUGAGAACCCACCCAGGCCCUCUCUGCACCGAGCUGAGUGUUGGCUGCUUGGAAACCAGCAGCUGGGGGGGUCCCGUGUGGCACUGCUCGGGGGCGGCGGUGACAUCGGGGUUCCCUGCCAGGCAGGCGGCCUCGGCUUUGUCCCCACAGCUGUGCCAUCAGCAUCUGCUGGCGACGGAUCUGUGUCAUGAGCUGCAGGGUCUCAGCACCUCGCUGACACACUGCAGGGGGAGCCGCCCCCCAUCCCGGCACACGGGGCAAAGCGUCCCCACCCCUGGGGGUGCUGCUCUGCGAGGAGAGGCCGCCCGUCAGCCUGCAGCUCCGCGUCCCUCAUUGGUAUUCUGUUCCCGCUCGGUGGCAGCCGGCAGGAUGGGAGCGGAGUGACAGCGGUGACAGGUCCCUCGGAGAUGGCAGCAGAGCAGACCCAAAGGCUGUGAGCAGAUCCAAGCCCUCCUCAUCUGCACUCCCGAUGGCCUCGAAGGGGUUAACUCACACCCCGCAGCCUUCAUGCUCUCUUUCUGCCAGCAAAGCUUUUCUUCCCUAAAUUCCUGCUUGCCCAGGAAGGCAAGACGAAGCCUGAGCUGCUGCAACAACACCCAGGAACAAGUAUUAUUAUGUGGUGUGACAAUGUUUGAUGAAUUCAUAUGCGCCUAGGGGAAGGGACUAAGUAGGUGAAUAAAGUGAGAAUAUUCUCUGUGACAAUCAAUACCCCUUCAAUUGAACCGUCUCCACAGAUGUGACAUUUUGAUUUUUCUUCUUUGGACGUACUAACUGGAUUUAUGUCCUCUUAAAGUGGAAACAGCGGGGAGUGAAGUGCUGGCAGCGGAUGGCGCGGUGGGG